rnacentral:rRNA from 1 species
GACGAACGCUGGCGGCGUGCUUAACACAUGCAAGUCGAACGGAAAGGCCCUGCUUUUGUGGGGUGCUCGAGUGGCGAACGGGUGAGUAACACGUGAGUAACCUGCCCUUGACUUUGGGAUAACUUCAGGAAACUGGGGCUAAUACCGGAUAGGAGCUCCUGCUGCAUGGUGGGGGUUGGAAAGGUUCGGCGGUUGGGGAUGGACUCGCGGCUUAUCAGCUUGUUGGUGGGGUAGUGGCUUACCAAGGCUUUGACGGGUAGCCGGCCUGAGAGGGUGACCGGCCACAUUGGGACUGAGAUACGGCCCAGACUCCUACGGGAGGCAGCAGUGGGGAAUAUUGCACAAUGGGCGGAAGCCUGAUGCAGCAACGCCGCGUGCGGGAUGACGGCCUUCGGGUUGUAAACCGCUUUCGCCUGUGACGAAGCGUGAGUGAUGGUAAUGGGUAAAGAAGCACCGGCUAACUACGUG